GAUGAACGCUGGCGGCGUGCCUAAUACAUGCAAGUCGAGCGAACAGACGAGGAGCUUGCUCCUCUGACGUUAGCGGCGGACGGGUGAGUAACACGUGGAUAACCUACCUAUAAGACUGGGAUAACUUCGGGAAACCGGAGCUAAUACCGGAUAAUAUAUUGAACCGCAUGGUUCAAUAGUGAAAGACGGUUUUGCUGUCACUUAUAGAUGGAUCCGCGCCGCAUUAGCUAGUUGGUAAGGUAACGGCUUACCGAGGCAACGAUGCGUAGCCGACCUGAGAGGGUGAGCGGCCACACUGGAACUGAGACACGGUCCAGACUCCUACGGGAGGCAGCAGUAGGGAAUCUUCCGCAAUGGGCGAAAGCUUGACGGAGCAACGCCGCGUGAGUGAUGAAGGUCUUCGGAUCGUAAAACUCUGUUAUUAGGGAAGAACAAAUGUGUAAGUAACUAUGCACGUCUUGACGGUACCUAAUCAGAAAGCCACGGCUAACUACGUG
rnacentral:rRNA from 1 species